AGUGAACGCUGGCGGUAGGCCUAACACAUGCAAGUCGAACGGCAGCACAGUAAGAGCUUGCUCUUACGGGUGGCGAGUGGCGGACGGGUGAGGAAUACAUCGGAAUCUACUUUUUCGUGGGGGAUAACGUAGGGAAACUUACGCUAAUACCGCAUACGACCUACGGGUGAAAGCAGGGGGUCUUCGGACCUUGCGCGAUUGAAUGAGCCGAUGUCGGAUUAGCUAGUUGGCGGGGUAAAGGCCCACCAAGGCGAGGAUCCGUAGCUUGGCUGAGGGGAUGAUCAGCCACACUGGAACUGAGAAACGGUCCAGACUCCUACGGGAGGCAGCAGUGGGGAAUAUUGGCCAAUGGGCGGAAGCCUUAUCCAGCCAUACCGCGUGGGUGAAGAAGGCCUUCGGGUUGUAAAGCCCUUUUGUUGGGAAAGAAAAGCAGCAGGUUAAUACCCCGCUGUUCUGACGGUACCCAAAGAAUAAGCACCGGCUAACUUCGUG
rnacentral:rRNA from 1 species